ensembl:snRNA
GUAUUGUAUGAAAGGAGAGGUUACCAACCACUCACUUUGACAAGAAUGGUAGAGGCUUCAGCCUGCAACAUACACAGUUAAGGCACUGUCACCUAUUUCAAAUAACAUACUUUGAAUUGCCAAUACUAGUUUAUUUC